rnacentral:rRNA from 1 species
UACGUAGGGAGCAAGCGUUGUCCGGAAUCAUUGGGCGUAAAGAGCGCGUAGGCGGUCCGGUAAGUCGGUUGUGAAAAACUGGGGGGCUCAACCCUCAGACGCCGACCGAUACUGUCGGGCUAGAGUCCGGAAGAGGCGAGUGGAAUUCCUGGUGUAGCGGUGAAAUGCGCAGAUAUCAGGAGGAACACCAAUGGCGAAGGCAGCUCGCUGGGACGGUACUGACGCUGAGGCGCGAAAGCGUGGGGGAGCAAACAGG